AGAGGCGUGGGUGUUCGGCUACGUCACUGGGGCCCUACGGUGCCUGGAGCUGGGCAGUCUUCUCGUCAGAGUGGGGACUGGUAAGAGCGACCUCCCCGCCAGGUCCUGUGUGUUGCCAGCCGAAGAAGGGUAGCUGAAAAAUUCAGACCCAGCACAGUGUUUAUGUUGGUCAAAAAUAGAAAACUAUGUCUGGCGCCGCCGAGGCGGGAGGACCCUUCAGGCCAAGAGCAGCCUAGCAACAUGGCGCAACCCCAUCUCUGUAGUCCUACCUCAGCUCCCCCCAGCUGAGGGGGGCUCAGCCCCCCAGCCCUCAAGUAUGAACCCAACGGUUCAAGGCUCCAGUGAGCUAUGAUCCCAUCACAGCAUUCCAGCCUGCGAGAUUGAGGACACAAAGACCAACGAGCCACCACAGCCACCAGUCCCAGAACCCGCUAAUGCUGGGGAACGGAAAAUGAGGGAGUUCAACUCUGGCAAGUUCUCAGCGAAAUCCACGACCUUUUCCUUUAUCUUCUGGACUCUCAAUGUGACUGAUGAAAGUUACCACAUGCUCUGCAGGGGGAAAUGGUUUAGCAUGUAUUACUACAUCUUAAUCACAUCUUUGUAAAGCCAGGAGCAUUUUGAAAGUCACGUUACAGACAUUCAGACAUUGUUUAAACAUAGUCUGUAUAUACCAAAGUAUAGGACGUUGUAUCAUCUCAUAUUAAUUAGUUAGUUGGCUCAAAAUUAGUGCUAAUGACUUAGUAAUUCAGUGAUUUCUGUUAGCUUUAAAACCUUUAUUUCAGAACUAUUUCACCUCUUGGUUUUCAUUUUUGCUGUGUGUCACUGCCUGCCAGCUGCUAAUUUAUUAACUCCCAGUGAAUCACGUGUCCUGUGAAGGGACUGAAUAUUAGUGGCAAAUUAUGUUGAUGAUUUAUAUUUUGAAUAAAUAGUUUGAAUACAUAGAACAUUAAGCUUGUAUACAUUUUGAAAAUAGUAUUUUAAUAUUCUACUGUGUCAUAGUCACAAUGAUUGGAUAUAUAUUGAAUUUAUAUGUACUUUAAGUUGUUAUAUGUUUAUGGUCUUUAGCAUUCUAACGUGCAGUUGUAUAUCUGUUAAGUCUUUUUUUUUUUUUUUCAAGAUUAGACUCUGAUUUAUUGA
rnacentral:lncRNA from 1 species